rnacentral:rRNA from 1 species
GACGAACGCUGGCGGCGUGCUUAACACAUGCAAGUCGAACGAGUGGCGAACGGGUGAGUAACACGUGGGUGAUCUGCCUUGCACUUCGGGAUAAGCUUGGGAAACUGGGUCUAAUACCGGAUAGUGCAAGAUGAGCUCGCGGCCUCUCAGCUUGUUGGGGGGGUGAUGGCUACCAAGGCGUGACGGGUAGCCGGGCUGAGAGGGUGACUGGCCACAUUGGGACGGAGAGACGGCUCAGAAGCCGACGGGAGGCAGCAGUGGGGGAUAUUGCACAAUGGGCGAAAGCCUGAUGCAGCGACGCCGCGGGGGGGAUGAAGGCUUUCGGGUUGUAAACCUCUUACGCUAUCGAACGGGUAGGUGGAGAAGAAGCGCCGGCUAACUACGUGCCAGCCGCCGCGGUAAUUC